CAUGCACAACAAGUUCUCAGUAAUUCGUUAUUGUACUAGUAAUAUGAGCUACGGUGUAUUCAUGUCGUAUUUAAUUAUGCUGCAUAUGCCUUGAUUCUGUUUCAAAGAUAAAAUUUCCCAUGUCUUAUUUUGGUUUUCUUCACUUGUUCUAUCAAUACUAAGUAUUACCUGUAAAAAUGACAUCGUGUAGUUUUUCAAUUAUCUGUGCAUUCUGACGGUAUUAAUCAGAUCCUCUCUGUCUAUCUUUUUUCUUAUGAAUUUGCUCGCUGGAUAUUGUGGAUCAUUCAAAAUUGAUUGAAAUUUGUUGCCGAUUAGUUUUGCGAGGUCGUCAGGCAUGCGUAAGAAGUACAAUGAAGACUACUUUGAAACAAUAUUGAAGCUACAAGUGUUAUUAAAUAUACAUUUAUUUAUUGCACCAAUAUUUUAAUAGAUGUGAGAAAACUAACUUAUAUUUCUUCUUUGAAGCCUCGAUUUCUUUUCCAGGUAAGUGAGUCUAUUGCAUAUAGAUAUUCCAAUGCUAGUAUUUCAAAGAAGUGGGCUACACAUAGGCAGAGGUUGUGGAAUGAAUAGUUUGACCCAGCCCAAAAGCAAAAAUGAGAUUAUAAGUAAUGUGCCAUAAGGUAUAAAUAAAGAUCAAUGGGCUAGUUUUGUUGCUUACCACGAAAAACCAUUAACACUGGAGCUUUGUAGAAGAAAUAAAAAAAUUCAAAGGAAGAAAAAAAGUCAUACUGAUGUUUCAAAAGCUAACUCGAGAAGACGAUAUGAGCAGGCAUGAGCAUUAACUUAAUAGUUUUACUUUUUAUUUAAUUAAACUGUUUUAGGAUAACUUUUAUAAUACAUUUCUUUCUUAGUUUCUAGAAAUUGAAAAAAGCCCUAGCCGUGGAAAAAUGUUUAUUGAAACUCAUAAGAGAAAGAACGGAUCAUUUGUGAAUGAUGAGGCACAGACUAUAGGGGAAUAACUUGAAUUGAAUGCCGAUGAGUCUGAAGUUUCCCGCAUGAUAUUAUUAGCAAGACAUUAGGGGCAGAGCACUCUGGAGAGUAAGAUGUAUGGCUAUGGGAGCAGCUCCUUCAAACACAUUCUUAAAUACCAAAUGAUGACUUAGCGAGCUAAGCAUUUCUUACUAGCUACAAUGCAUCAUCUGCAACUUCUAGCUAUUUGCAUCAAAAGGUUGCUCGUUUGGAUUAGAAGGAACCUUGACUGUUGAAGGAUUACGUGAUAUCAAAAGAAUGAGGGGUUCCUGAAGAAUAUAAUUUACUGAUCUGUUUGCUACUCAAAUACAGGUAAGAAGUAGAUAGUUUGUACUACUUCUGAUCAGCUUAAUAACACUAUAUUUCUAUGUGAUAUCAAAAUGAAACAAUCUCUACCUGGUUACUCAGCCAAAUUUUUCUUAUGGUAGUCAGAAACCAUCACAAAUUGACAAAAACCUCCACAAAAUAGUUGUUUUCUUAUAGUGUCAUAGCAGCAGCGGCCUGGUUUAAUUAUUUAUAAUGUUGCU